rnacentral:rRNA from 1 species
AUUGAACGCUGGCGGCAGGCCUAACACAUGCAAGUCGAACGGUAACAGGAAGAAGCUUGCUUCUUUGCUGACGAGUGGCGGACGGGUGAGUAAUGUCUGGGAAACUGCCUGAUGGAGGGGGAUAACUACUGGAAACGGUAGCUAAUACCGCAUAACGUCGCAAGACCAAAAAGGGGGACCUUCGGGCCUCUUUCCAUCGGAUGUGCCCAGAUGGGAUUAGCUAGUAGGUGGGGUAACGGCUCACCUAGGCGACGAUCCCUAGCUGGUCUGAGAGGAUGACCAGCCACACUGGAGCUGAGACACGGUCCAGACUCCUACGGGAGGCAGCAGUGGGGAAUAUUGCACAAUGGGCGCAAGCCUGAUGCAGCCAUGCCGCGUGUAUGAAGAAGGCCUUCGGGUUGUAAAGUACUUUCAGCGGGGAGGAAGGGAGUAAAGUUAAUACCUUUGCUCAUUGACGUUACCCGCAGAAGAAGCACCGGCUAACUCCGU